UUUACUCUUCAUGUUAAUUUCCUUUGUUAUCCAGGAGCCUUAGUCUUUCGUAAAUGCUUCAACCAUCCCUAUAUCCACCAUGAAGAAUAAACGAAAGUACGUCUCUGCUCGAGUCAGUGGUGGGCUAUUCCUGAAAUCAUGCUCCUGGAAAGCAUAGGAAGCACAAAUUUCUUCAAGACCCAGCAGCUCCUGUCCACAAGACAUCCUGUAUGACUAGGCAAACUGAAUAAACAUUACAAUACAUGGUAAGAGAGGCUUGAGCAUGUUUACGUACAAAAGGAAGAACAGAAGCGAAGCUCUGAAGACAGAAGAGAGAGAGAUUUUGUAUUUUUGAUGAUAAAAUUGGACAAUAAAUUUUUGGAUAAAAGUGUA